AGAGUUUGAUCCUGGCUCAGAAUGAACGCUGGCGGCAGGCCUAACACAUGCAAGUCGAGCGAAGUCUUCGGACUUAGCGGCGGACGGGUGAGUAACGCUUGGGAACAUACCCUUUGGUACGGAAUAGCCUCGGGAAACUGGGAGUAAUACCGUAUGUGCCCUUCGGGGGAAAGAUUUAUCGCCAAAGGAUUGGCCCGCGUUGGAUUAGGUAGUUGGUGGGGUAAUGGCCUACCAAGCCGACGAUCCAUAGCUGGUUUGAGAGGAUGAUCAGCCACACUGGGACUGAGACACGGCCCAGACUCCUACGGGAGGCAGCAGUGGGGAAUUUUCCGCAAUGGGCGAAAGCCUGACGGAGCAAUACCGCGUGAGGGAUGACGGCCUGUGGGUUGUAAACCUCUUUUCUCAAGGAAGAAGUUCUGACGGUACUUGAGGAAUAAGCAUCGGCUAACUCUGUGCCAGCAGCCGCGGUAAUACAGAGGAUGCAAGCGUUAUCCGGAAUCACUGGGCAUAAAGCGUCUGUAGGUGGUUUGGUAAGUCUGCUGUUAAAGACUGGGGCUCAACCCCAGAAAAGCAGUGGAAACUGCCGGACUUGAGUGUGGUAGAGGUAGAGGGAAUUCCUAGUGUAGCGGUGAAAUGCGUAGAUAUUAGGAAGAACACCAACGGCGAAAGCACUCUACUGGGCCAUAACUGACACUGAGAGACGACAGCUAGGGGAGCAAAUGGGAUUAGAUACCCCAGUAGUCCUAGCCGUAAACGAUGGAUACUAGAUG
rnacentral:rRNA from 1 species